CUACACCACCAACAACAACAGCUCCAACAACAACCACAACAACAACACCACCAACAACCACAACACCAACAACAACUACACCACCAACAACCACAACACCAACAACAACAACAACCACAACUACACCAUCAAACAUGACUGGACCAAUGUCAAACGUGACUGGACCAAUUUCAAACACGACUGCACCAACAACAACCACGACUCCGACAACAACAAGCACGACUGUAGCACCAGUCUUCAACUCACUAGUACAUCUCCAGGCGAAGGUAACUUCAACGACACAGCUCACCAAUUCAAACGUCAUUCUGUUUAUUAAUCAGCUGUUGAACGUGUACUUUCCCAGUGGAGCACCAUUUGUAUACACUGUGAGAGGAAUUCAACAAAUCAGUCCAAACCCAUAGAAGCAAAUGUA